rnacentral:rRNA from 1 species
GACGAACGCUGGCGGCGUGCCUAACACAUGCAAGCCGAACGGGACCAGGGGCAACUCUGGUUCAGUGGCGGACGGGUGCGUAACACGUGAGGAACAUGACCUUCGGCGGGGGAGUAGCCGGCCCAACCGGCCGGGUAAUACCGCGUACGACCACUUUGGGACGAUCCCUCGGUGGUGAAAGACAGCAAUGCGCCGAUGGAGUGCCUCGCGGCCUAUCAGCUAGUUGGUGAGGUAACGGCUCACCAAGGCGACGACGGGUAGCUGGUCUGAGAGGAUGGCCAGCCACAUUGGGACUGAGACACGGCCCAGACUCCUACGGGA